UACGAGGGGGGCGAGCGUUUGUUCGGAAUUAUUGGGCGUAAAGGGUGCGUAGGCGGCCUGACAAGUCUGAUGUGAAAUCCCCUGGGCUCAACCCAGGGCCUGCAUCGGAAACUGUCGGGCUUGAGUAUGGGAGAGGUGAGUGGAAUUUCCGGUGUAGCGGUGAAAUGCGUAGAUAUCGGAAGGAACACCUGUGGCGAAAGCGGCUCACUGGACCAUUACUGACGCUGAGGCACGAAAGCUAGGGGAGCAAACAGG
rnacentral:rRNA from 1 species